ACGAACGCUGGCGGCAUGCCUAACACAUGCAAGUCGAACGAGACCUUCGGGUCUAGUGGCGCACGGGUGCGUAACGCGUGGGAACCUGCCCUUAGGUUCGGAAUAACUCCCCGAAAGGGGUGCUAAUACCGGAUAAUGUCUUCGGACCAAAGAUUUAUCGCCUUUGGAUGGGCCCGCGUUGGAUUAGCUAGUUGGUAGGGUAAAAGCCUACCAAGGCGACGAUCCAUAGCUGGUCUGAGAGGAUGAUCAGCCACACUGGGACUGAGACACGGCCCAGACUCCUACGGGAGGUAGCAGUGGGGAAUAUUGGACAAUGGGCGAAAGCCUGAUCCAGCAAUGCCGCGUGAGUGAUGAAGGCCUUAGGGUUGUAAAGCUCUUUUACCCGGGAUGAUAAUGACAGUACCGGGAGAAUAAGCGCCGGCUAACUCCGUG
rnacentral:rRNA from 1 species